CAGCCGCCACGGUAAUACGAAGGGUGCAAGCGUUACUCGGAAUUACUGGGCGUAAAGCGUGCGUAGGUGGUGGUUUAAGUCCGUUGUGAAAGCCCUGGGCUCAACCUGGGAAUUGCAGUGGAUACUGGGUCACUAGAGUGUGGUAGAGGAUAGUGGAAUUUCCGGUGUAGCAGUGAAAUGCGUAGAGAUCGGAAGGAACAUCUGUGGCGAAGGCGACUAUCUGGGCCAACACUGACACUGAGGCACGAAAGCGUGGGGAGCAAACAGGAUUAGAUACCCCCGUAGUCCCUGUCUCUUAUAC
rnacentral:rRNA from 1 species